rnacentral:lncRNA from 1 species
GAAAAGAGUGGUAGAGUAUUUGAAGAUGUUGAAAAGGCAAAACUAAAGGCAUAAGCCUUCAUUUAAAGACAUUUUGUUUCUUGAACCAUGGUUUGCUCCCCAGAGCUUGCUGCCUGACAGUGGGUGGACAUAAAACCGCUUCACCUCUAAAACAGACUUGA